AUAUGGUUACUUGAAAGCAGAUGUGUAAAUUGGUAUGGUACAUAUCAAUUCUUCAAGGCAGCUGCACUUUUUCAUUGAUAUUGUUGUAAAGAUUUGUAAUUUCUUGCAGAAAGUUACAUACUCAUGUAUAGUUUUUGACUUUGGAAUCAAUUUGUAUAGUAUUUCCACUCUUUGAAUAUUAUUAUGACAGUGAUUAUUAACUGAUAGCAAAUAGUAAUCAUGAACUAAUUACUUCUGUGCUAAAAACUCUUUUUUUGGCAACUGAUUUAUGUAGAAGAAUUGACUUAGAGAAGAACCUGCAAUACAUAAGUUUGGUGAUUAUUCAAUAUUUGGAAGCCUAACAUAUUCAUGUGUUAUUACUGAUUUAGAGAUCAAUGUCUAUCUAAUUUAGAUAUCAAUUUUGCAGUCUGUAUUUGGAUGAAGUGAAGCUUGCAAACUACUCAGCCUUAAUGAUGCUUUUGGUUUUUGCAGAUCAAUACUAUAUGGAUAAAUUCUCUUUGGAAGCUGGAGGUUAUUCCAAUGAUUAGAGUGAAGGUUCAGUUUAAUAACGGUUAAGUUAGGACGAAAGAGAGGUUUGCGAUUAUCAUAUUUGGUUUGUCAUCAACAAGGAGAAGGAGGGUGAGUUUUGGAGUUUUAUUGAGGAGAGCAGGACAGCUGCAGGUUAUUUGUGGUGACUAAACUUUUUUUGCCUUAUAAAUGGGGAUAGUAAGAUCAGGGGGAGCAUAUGAGAUUCUCAAUCAAUUAUCACAGAUUUCUAAAAUUUUAUUUUCGUAAUUAAAAUCAAUCAAUUAUAUAUGCCAGACUUCAUCUUAAAUUUGCUUAUAGUUGCAGUAUGGAUUUCUGUGGUUUGGUAAUGGGGAUGUAUUUGAAUGACGAAAGAGUAGCAUUUCUACUAAUAUUGAGACACUUGAACAAAAUUAAAGAAAUCACAAGUUAUUUGUGGUGACUAAACUUUUUUUGCCUUAUAAAUGGGGAUAGUAAGAUCAGGGGGAGCAUAGGAGAUUAGCA